rnacentral:rRNA from 1 species
GACAGAGGAUGCAAGCGUUAUCCGGAAUGAUUGGGCGUAAAGCGUCUGUAGGUGGCUUUUUAAGUCCGCCGUCAAAUCCCAGGGCUCAACCCUGGACAGGCGGUGGAAACUACCAAGCUGGAGUACGGUAGGGGCAGAGGGAAUUUCCAGUGGAGCGGUGAAAUGUGUAGAUAUUGGAAAGACCACCGAUGGCGAAGGCACUCUGCUGGGCCGACACUGACACUGAGAGACGAAAGCUAGGGGAGCGAAUGGG